GCCCGUAGCUCAGCUAGGUUUUCUUCAGGUUGAAGACCUGACGGUCCCCGGUUCGAAUCCGGGCGGGC
rnacentral:tRNA from 1 species